GAUGAAGAACGUAGCGAAAUGCGAAAAGUAAUGUGAAUUGCAGAAUUCAGUGAACCAUCGAAUCUUUGAACGCACAUUGCGCCCGCUGGAACUCCGGCGGGCACGCCUGUCCGAGCGUCAUUUCAACCCUCAGGCCCCCCUUCGCGGGCGGGCCUGGUGUUGGGGCCCGGCCGCUACCCUGCGGCCGUCCCCUAAAUUCAGUGGCGGCCUCGCCGUGAUCCCUUGCGUAGUAAUGCACCUCGCACCGGAGAGCGCCGUGGCCACGCCGUAAAACCCCCAAAUUUCAAUGGUUGACCUCGGAUCAGGUGGGAAUACCCGCUGAACUUAAGCAUAUCAAUAAGCGGAGGA
rnacentral:misc_RNA from 1 species